rnacentral:rRNA from 1 species
GACGAACGCUGGCGGCGUGCUUAACACAUGCAAGUCGAACGGAAAGGCCCUGCUUUUGUGGGGUUCUCGAUUGGCGAACGGGUGAGUAACACGUGAGUAACCUGCCCUUGACUUUGGGAUAACUUCAGGAAACUGGGGCUAAUACCGGAUAGGAGCUCCUGCUGCAUGGUGGGGGUUGGAAAGUUUCGGCGGUUGGGGAUGGACUCGCGGCUUAUCAGCUUGUUGGUGGGGUAGUGGCUUACCAAGGCUUUGACGGGUAGCCGGCCUGAGAGGGUGACCGGCGACAAUGGGACUGAGGUACGGCCCAGACUCCUACGGGAGGCAGCAGUGGGGAAUAUUGCACAAUGGGCGGAAGCCUGAUGCAGCAACGCCGCGUGCGGGAUGACGGCCUUCGGGUUGUAAACCGCUUUCGCCUGUGACGAAGCGUGAGUGACGGUAAUGGGUAAAGAAGCAACGGCUAACUACGUG